UGGGGCGUCGCCAAGUGGUAAGGCACCGGUUUUUGGUAUCGGCAUCCGCAGGUUCGAAUCCUGCCACCCCAGCCA
rnacentral:tRNA from 1 species